rnacentral:lncRNA from 1 species
AUCAUAUCCUCCCAUUAAAGUGUAUGAUAAUGCAUCCAAUAUUCUAAAUAAGCAUUGGAGGCACCACACACCUGAUGUCUAUUGGGUAUUAAAAUUAUCAUACAUCAUAUGACAGUCUUGUUGUGUCCUUCAGAUCAAUGGUCAAAUUGGCUGAGCCACACUUAGACCUGGACAUUCGUUUGCUGGAUACACUUGAUGUAGUCAUGUUAAUAGUUGGACCUAACUGAAUUUUGCAGUGGAGGUGCCACACACCUGCUGAAGAGAUACCUGGGGCAAAAUCUGAUUGCUAGAAAUUAUUUGAAGAAAUAAUUGAUUAAAAAUUUAUCUAUGGAUGUACUA